rnacentral:rRNA from 1 species
AUGGGACUGGGGAAGACCAUGCAGAUUUCUGCUUUCCUAGCCGGAUUGUUCCAUUCAGGUUUAAUCAGGAGAGUGUUGGUUGUCGUUCCAAAGACACUUGUGACUCAUUGGAUCAAAGAACUUACACUUGUUGGCCUCAAAAGCAAGAUCAGCGACUACUCUGGUCCCAACGCAAAUGUUCGCAACUCUGAGCUCCAACACGCAUUCAAGGAGGGCGGUGUAGUACUGACAACAUAUGACAUCGUCCGAAUAAAUUACAAGCGGAUAAGGGGUGACUUCUACCAUGAAGCGGAUGAUGAUGAUGAGAGAAACCUAUGGGACUAUGUUGUUCUUGAUGAGGCACAACAAAUCAAAAACCCUAUGACAGAAAGAUUGAAAAGUAUAUGUAAAAUACUGACUGUCCACCGGAUUGCCAUAAGUGGCACACCCAUACAAAAUAACUUGAAGGUUUAGAGAAAGAAAUUAAGAGAACGGAUAAAGCCCUAUUUUUUGCGUCGUAUGAAAGGUGAAGUGUCCCUUGAUAUUGGCUCGAAAAAUGGGAAAACACUUGGUAAGAAGAAUGAGCUAAUUAUCUGGCUGAAAUUAACAGAUCGCCAGGUACAAAAUUUGUAUCAUUGA